rnacentral:rRNA from 1 species
UGACCUCAAAUCAGGUAGGACUACCCGCUGAACUUAAGCAUAUCAAAAGCCGGGAGGA